rnacentral:rRNA from 1 species
AGCAGCCGCGGUAAUUCCAGCUCCAAUAGCGUAUAUUAAAGUUGUUGCAGUUAAAAGCUCGUAGUUGAAUUUCGGGAUCAGUUGAUCGGUCGUGCCUCGGUACGUACUGGUCAAAUUGAUUUCUACCUUCUGACGAACCACGAUGUCAUUAAUUUGGUGUCGCGGGAAAUCAGGACUGUUACUUUGAAAAAAUUAGAGUGUUUAAAGCAGGCUCGUGCUUGAAUACAUUAGCAUGGAAUAAUGAAAUAGGACGUUUGAUUCUAUUUUGUUGGUUUCUAGGAUCGACGUAAUGAUUAAUAGGGAUAGUUGGGGGCAUUAGUAUUCAAUUGUCAGAGGUGAAAUUCUUGGAUUUAUUGAAGACUAACUACUGCGAAAGCAUUUGCCAAGGAUGUUUUCAUUAAUCAAGAACGAAAGUUAGGGAUCGAAGACGAUCAGAUACCGUGUAGUC